rnacentral:rRNA from 1 species
AGCGAACGCUGGCGGCAGGCCUAACACAUGCAAGUCGAACGAACCCUUCGGGGUUAGUGGCGGACGGGUGAGUAACACGUGGGAACGUACCCUUAGGUUCGGAACAACACAGGGAAACUUGUGCUAAUACCGAAUGUGCCCUUCGGGGGAAAGAUUUAUCGCCUUUGGAGCGGCCCGCGUCUGAUUGGCUUGUUGGUGAGGUAAAGGCUCACCAAGGCUACGAUCAGUAGCUGGUCUGAGAGGAUGAUCAGCCACACUGGGACUGAGACACGGCCCAGACUCCUACGGGAGGCAGCAGUGGGGAAUCUUGCGCAAUGGGCGAAAGCCUGACGCAGCCAUGCCGCGUGAAUGAUGAAGGUCUUAGGAUUGUAAAAUUCUUUCACCGGGGAAGAUAAUGACGGUACCCGGAGAAGAAGCCCCGGCUAACUUCGUGCCAGCCGCCGCGGUAAUAC